rnacentral:rRNA from 1 species
UACGAAGGGUGCAAGCGUUACUCGGAAUUACUGGGCGUAAAGCGUGCGUAGGUGGUUUGUUAAGUCUGAUGUGAAAUCCCCGGGCUUAACCUGGGAACUGCGCUUGUUACUGGCAGGCUUGAGUGUGGCAGAGGGGGGUGGAAUUCCACGUGUAGCAGUGAAAUGCGUAGAGAUGUGGAGGAACACCGAUGGCGAAGGCAGCCCCCUGGGCUAACACUGACGCUCAUGCACGAAAGCGUGGGGAGCAAACAGG